UUUUCCUGAAGAAGUCCACCUCCACAGCCAAUUUCUUCUCUGCUUCCUCUUGCAAUCUGACGGCUUCCCCCUUCUGCUAUUCUGCCUCAUGGCAUAGAUGCAUACAGUCUUGCAAUUUCACACUCAACUCUGAGUUUUCAGUUUGAAGUUCCUCCAUGGCUUUCUUCAAUUUGUCAUACUCCUCUCGACUCAACAUUGUCGACUGCUCGGAAGCU
rnacentral:lncRNA from 1 species